rnacentral:lncRNA from 1 species
AGGUCAUCUCCCUUUCUGUAGAGCAUAUGAUCUUUACUGAUGCACCUGCAUCUGGCUCAGACUUAGUCACCCAGCCCUGAAAUUAUAUCAUAUCACAGGUCAUUCUCUGAGUCUCUUAAUGUGAGGCCUUGAGAGAAAAAUCAACAUGCCUUCUGUUGGAUGAAGACCAAUCAGCAAGAUGGUGGUGAUUGUGGUACAGUCCCCUUUUUAUAGAGUCGUUGCAAGGAUCAAGUGAGUUGAAAUCCGUAAGGUGCUUGGGAGAAUGCCUGGCGCCUGGAAGCACUGUAUAUUCCAAAAAAGGAGAUAUAAACAUGACCAUAAAAGACAUGAAAAGAUGUUUAACCCCAUUAGUCAUCGUGGAAAUGCAAAUGAAAACCACCAUACAGACACUAGAGUGGUUUAAAUUUGAAUGACUUCCAACACCAAAUGCCAGACAGGACAUAGAGCAACUGGAUGUCUCAUGCUCACAGGCAGAAGGGAAAACUACUGUGUGUGACAGGAAGAUGGACUUACCCAACCUUCAGCAUUCUCAAUCUCUUGUCUAUUAACAUGUGUUUGAAACAUUAUGCAUUCAAAGCAAACAUCUGGGAGGAAGAUGGGAGAAGCCUUCUUGCCCCUGUUCUACAGAAGUAAUUGAAGUUCAUGACAUUCAAGCUCAUUCACCAGUAAAUGAAUUUGGGUCAUGCUUUAUGUCUGUUGUAAAUACAGUG